GGCAAAACAAAUCCAAGAAAGCAUUGGCCAAUCGUUUAACUGAAAAAGAAGGAAGUAUUACAAAACACACUAGCGGUUCUCGUUCAUUUCUUGCUACUCAAAAGCUAAUGGAAGAAGAGCUUCAACGACCAAUACAUUAUCCAGAAUUAUUUGAGAGAACUCAUAAACGGUCAAAAGGAAGUGGCGAUUUUGUAGAUAAUAAAUCCAAAGUUGUUAGUGAUAAAUAUCAAUCUACAUUAUC